rnacentral:rRNA from 1 species
UACGUAGGGGGCCAGCGUUGUCCGGACUUACUGGGCGUAAAGCGCGCGUAGGCGGCUCCGCAAGUCGGCCGUGAAAUCUCCAGGCUCAACUUGGAGGGGUCGGGCGAGGCUGCGGAGCUCGAGGUGGGCAGAGGGCAGUGGAAUUCCGGGUGUAGUGGUGGAAUGCGUAGAGAUCCGGAGGAACACCAGUGGCGAAGGCGGCUGCCUGGGCCUGGCCUGACGCUGAGGCGCGAAAGCGUGGGGAGCGAUCCGG